GAACCUGAGAGUUUGAUCCUGGCUCAGAACGAACGCUGGCGGCAUGCCUAACACAUGCAAGUCGAACGAAGGCUUCGGCCUUAGUGGCGCACGGGUGAGUAACACGUGGGAACCUGCCUUUCGGUUCGGAAUAACGUCUGGAAACGGACGCUAACACCGGAUACGCCCCCCAGAGAGAUUUGGGCGGGGAAAGUUUACGCCGAGAGAGGGGCCCGCGUCGGAUUAGGUAGUUGGUGAGGUAAAGGCUCA
rnacentral:rRNA from 1 species